GUCCGCCUGGAAGAGGCGGGCAUUUGGGGGACGGCCGCCCAGCUGUCCGUGCGCGUGCGCGACGUCUGAGGAAGCCGGACAGAGGGCUGGUUUUUGCCGGUGGCUGCUGUUACCUCAGUCUUUCUUGGCGCAGAGGUUUCCGCGCUGAUAUACACGGCUUGUGAUUUAUUUAUUUUAGAGAGAGACUGAGCGGGCGAGCAUGGAGGAGGAGCAGAAAGAAAGAAGCAGACUCCGCUGAGUGCACAGCCUGAUGCCUAGAUCCAUUUCAGGACUCUGAGAUCAUGACCUGAGUGGAAAUCGAGAGUCAGGCUUUAUCACCUGCCCCACCCAGGUGCCCCUUUGAUUCUUAUCUACAAAAGGACAAGAACCAAGCUAAAGCUAUGAUUGAUUAUGAAGCAGCAGUACCUCAUGUUAGCUAGGAAGGAAGAAAUUUGUUUUAUGUGCAUGUGAUUGGGACACGGUUGUUUGUUUGUUUGUAUUCAGACAUGAUUAUGGAGUGGUGGUUUUGUCUUAAUCCAUUCUGGUCAGUGUCUUUGAUGUUGGUAUUGCAUGAAAUUGUUUAUGAUCAACAGGCAACACCUACCAGUUGAUGGUACCAGCCUAAUUCCCAUUAUCAGAGGCUGUUUUUCUCCUUUUCACUGUGCUUCAUAUGACCUAAAAAUGUGCUAUGCUUUAGGCCUCAAAACAGCUAUGUGAGACAAUCCACAGAUAUUUAGUACUCCCCAUUAGAUACUAGUCCCUAAUCUAAGCAUGGCAGGUAAAAUUAGGUCCCUGCCUCCAAGGAAUUUACAGGUUAUGAGAAUACUUUAUUGCCCCUUUUUCUAAAUGAGGAAACUGUGCUUUCAUGGUGUGGAGUAAUUAGUCUAAAAUCAUACAGCUAGCAAAACAAGGAACCUUGUUUUGGGGAUCUAACUCCAGACAAUUCUGAUGUCAGUGUCUGCCACUUUAUCACCUUGAGAGUUUGCAUCCCUAAGGAGGCUCUAGUGCCUCCUCAGUAAUCUUCAGCUAUUGAUAUCUGUUUAUACCUGGGUUUCUCAACAGCAGCAUUAUUGACAUUUGGGGCCAGUUAAUUCUUUGUUGUUGGGGGCUAUUUUAUGCCUUUUAGGAUGUUUAGCAGCAUCCUUGGCCUAUCAUGUCAGUGGCACCUUACCCUCAUUUUGACAAUCAAAUAUGUCUCCAGACAUUACCAUAUCACCCAUGUUUGAGAGUCACUGGUGUAUACCAUUUAUAUCUUGGGUCUUUGAGAGGUAACAAAUUUGAGGGGCAUGAGAAUCCCUAAAUCACUUUGGGGAAAUCUUAGAGAAAUAGUGUGGCCUAUUUCUCAGGUUCUGAAAAGCCUGUUCAACUAGAAAAAUGAAGACUAAAACAAAGCAUAGACAAAUGAAAUGGGGAGAAACAAAAGGAAAUGAGAACAAAUCAAAGUGGAGAGGAGCUCAUAGGAAAUCACCCUUACGUUAUUCAGCUCACACAAAGACACAAAAAACCUUUUUUUUUUUUUUUUUUUAAGAUUUUAUUUAUCCACGAGAGACACAGACAGAGAGAGGCAGAGACACAGGCAGAGGGAGAAGCAGGCUUCAUGCCGGGCGCCAGACCUGGGACUCGAUUCCUAGUCUCCAGGAUCAGGACCUGGACUGAAGGUGGCGCUAAACCGCUGAGCCACCCAGGCUGCCCCAGACACAAAAAAUCUUAAUGUGGCCUUAUAGUACCUCUGCUUCCUGUUUGAGAAAUGCUAUUAUGCUUAGUAAAUAGUCUUGGUCACUUUUCUGCAAAAGCUUUUCCUUUACAGCAUGGUCCCAGGUCUGACCUCCCUGAACUGGCUACUUGCAAGAGACUCUUCAAAGAUUUUAGACAUCCCCCAAGGUAGUAGUUUGUUUUCCAGGAAAGCCAAGAUCCCCUGGGAAGCUGGCAAAAAUUACAAAGCUUUGAUAGCUAAGUUUUUCUAGAUUUUCCAAGAGAUAGUUUUACUUAGACUAAACUAAUAAGAACAUCAACACAAUCAUUUGUAUCUUCCUAACCUCUUUCAUUAGGAACUUCUGCAAAAUACAUAGUCAUCUAUUAAUUUUCUUCUCAUUACAGUGAGAGAAUCAUUAUGAUUUUUCUGUUUAAUACAUACAGAAGGCAAGUUAUAGAAUCCACAAAAAUGGUAAGAAAUCCAGAAAUAAACUAUUGGAAUCUUCAUUUGGGGCUAUUCUUGAUGCUCAGCACCACUCCAGAUCUUCCGCUGCUCAAUACAAGGUACACAGUUCAGUGAGCUGUAUAAACUGCAAUGAACAUGGUUCAUAAAUGCAGUAUUUCCAUCAAUCCCUACAUAUGCAUAUGAAGCAUGUUGCCUCAGUUAAUUGUGUCAUCGGUUUCACCAAAUGAGCCUGUCCUCUCUGUUGUUAAACUAGAAGUAACCAAGGGGGUAAGUGUCUGAUUUUUUUUAUAAAUCUGUUUCUAGACUCUGUGGCCACUCUCUAUGUCAUUGUGUGGGUAUAUUGUAGUUUACUUAAUCCUUUUCUUUUUAACUCAACAGAAAACAUUUAAUUAAAAAUAAAUAUUUAGUUUGCAAGGAUACUUUGUAAUCAUAUUUUAUGCUUCAUUUCACUUGCUCUCAUUUAAACUUAAUUUUAGAGUUCACUACAACUUUCAAUUCAAUUCUGAGAUUUUUUUUAAAUUGAAGUAUAAUUAGCAUACAAUGGUAUAUUAGUUUCAGAUAUACAACAUAUUGAUUCAACAGUCCUGUACAUUACUCAGUGCUCACCAUAAGUGUAGUCACCAUACAGUGUUAUUACAAUGUUCUUGAUUAUAUUCCCCAUGCUAUGCUUUUCAUCUCUAUGACUUACUUAUUUUAUAACUAGAAAUUUAUACCUCUUUUUUUUUUUUUUUUUUUA